UUGACGGAGAGUUUGAUCCUGGCUCAGGACGAACGCUGGCGGCGUGCUUAACACAUGCAAGUCGAACGCUGAAGCUUGGUGCUUGCACUGGGUGGAUGAGUGGCGAACGGGUGAGUAAUACGUGAGUAACCUGCCCUUGACUCUGGGAUAAGCCUGGGAAACUGGGUCUAAUACUGGAUACGACAUGUCACCGCAUGGUGGUGUGUGGAAAGGGUUUUACUGGUUUUGGAUGGGCUCACGGCCUAUCAGCUUGUUGGUGGGGUAAUGGCUCACCAAGGCGACGACGGGUAGCCGGCCUGAGAGGGUGACCGGCCACACUGGGACUGAGACACGGCCCAGACUCCUACGGGAGGCAGCAGUGGGGAAUAUUGCACAAUGGGCGGAAGCCUGAUGCAGCGACGCCGCGUGAGGGAUGACGGCCUUCGGGUUGUAAACCUCUUUCAGCACGGAAGAAGCGAAAGUGACGGUACGUGCAGAA
rnacentral:rRNA from 1 species